rnacentral:rRNA from 1 species
UACGUAGGGUGCAAGCGUUGUCCGGAAUUAUUGGGCGUAAAGAGCUCGUAGGCGGUUUGGCAAGUCGGGUGUGAAAACUCCGGGCUCAACUCGGAGACGCCACUCGAUACUGCUAUGACUCGAGUCCGGUAGGGGAGUGCGGAAUUCCUGGUGUAGCGGUGAAAUGCGCAGAUAUCAGGAGGAACACCGAUGGCGAAGGCAGCUCGCUGGGACGGUACUGACGCUGAGGCGCGAAAGCGUGGGGAGCAAACAGG